AACGAACGCUGGCGGCAUGCCUAACACAUGCAAGUCGAACGAGACCUUCGGGUCUAGUGGCGCACGGGUGCGUAACGCGUGGGAACCUGCCUUUAGGUUCGGAAUAACUCAGAGAAAUUUGAGCUAAUACCGGAUGAUGUCUUCGGACCAAAGAUUUAUCGCCUUUAGAUGGGCCCGCGUUGGAUUAGCUAGUUGGUGGGGUAAAGGCCUACCAAGGCGACGAUCCAUAGCUGGUCUGAGAGGAUGAUCAGCCACACUGGGACUGAGACACGGCCCAGACUCCUACGGGAGGCAGCAGUGGGGAAUAUUGUGCGAUGGGCGAAAGCCUGAUCCAGCAAUGCCGCGUGAGUGAUGAAGGCCUUAGGGUUGUAAAGCUCUUUUACCCGAGAUGAUAAUGACAGUAUCGGGAGAAUAAGCUCCGGCUAACUCCGUG
rnacentral:rRNA from 1 species